rnacentral:misc_RNA from 1 species
UCCGGCUUCGCGCCGGCAGUCUCCCGAGAGUCCCCGACUUUACUCGCUGGCAACACGGGACAGGGGUUGCGCUCGUUGCGCCACUUAAGGCAACACCUCACGGCACGAGCUGACGACAGCCAUGCACCACCUGUGCAGGCUCCGAAGAGCGCCCGCUUUCACCGGUUUCACCCUGCAUGUCAAGCCCUGGUAAGGUUCUUCGCGUUGCGUCGAAUUAAGCCACAUGCUCCGCCGCUUGUGCGGGUCCCCGUCAAUUCCUUUGAGUUUUAGCCUUGCGGCCGUACUCCCCAGGCGGGGUGCUUAAUGCGUUAGCGUCGGCACGGAGAGGGUUGAAGACCUCCCCACACCUAGCACCCAACGUUUACGGCUGGGACUAC